UUUCGGAAGUGCGCUCAUUUUUCACGUUUCUUCCAUCAUGCUGCAUCCUUUAGUCAUCGGCAUUAUGACCGUCAACACCUCUCUCACUGUCAUCUACUGGGCCUUCCUCUUGGGUGACGUCUACUUCAAGUGGAUGGCAGAGCCGGAGGACAAGCCCAAGAAGAUCGUCACCCCUGCCUGAGGCGCCAACAUGAGUCCAACUGACACAAGGACUGUAGUCAACUUUUAGAGAUUUUUUUGGAGUCUUCUUUUAGAUUUUUAUUUUCUAGAGAAUGUUCCAGUUUCACUGUAAGCAACAGGGAGGAAAGAGUCAAUGAAAAAAGAUGCACUUGACACCCACUACUUUCGAAGAUCCUUUAUUGAAGGAAAAGAUCUGAGAAGGCAACAAAUCUUAAUUUCCAGACUGGAUUCUUGGCCCCAAACCAGUGGAGGAUCAUUAUGAGCUAGACAGAACAACAGUAGAAGAAAACAAUUGACUGAGUGGUCACCAGAUGGAGAGAGAUGACGUGGAAAUGGAGAGAGAGAAAGAAGGGACAUUGCCAGGAUUCAAACUUCCCUCCCAUGCUCCUUCUCCGAGAAGAAGCGACCUCCGUUCAUUGAGAGAAAAAAAGAAACACAAAUGGAUUGACGAUUACGUCAAAUCCCUUUAGGUCACUUGACGAUGUCAUCUCAUCUGUUUGUCAAUCGACCGCAGUCUCUGUAGAUGAAUGCUUUUCGUUGUCUUCUUUCACCGUGUACUUCAUUGACACAUAAUGACGACAAAGCUCUUGUGAUGACACCUUAAUAAUGGAAUCUGGAGUUUAUGGUCAAUCGUUUUAUUUCGCACCCUAAUCCCAAGAACAAAUUAAUUCAAUUGAAAUUAAUGGAGAAAAAGAAAUAUAUUUACAUUGUAUUGAAUACAAUUCCCUGGGCUGUCAUUUCCAUGUUCCUGUCAAACAAAGCUUUUUUUUUUUUUCCUU